rnacentral:lncRNA from 1 species
GGCUUGAAAGGUUUUGUUUAUUAAAGGAAUACAUGUAAACACCAAUACAAUAUAAUACAUGUUUAAGGAAAAUAAUAAAGACAGAAGUAGGAUUUUUUUUUUGUGCAAUUAACUCCAGACUGUGAUUCCUUAAGCAAAACCACCAUCCGAGUCAGUUGUGAAGUUACAAAAACCUAUAAAGGCUCACUUCUGGCAAGCCAUCUCACCAAAUGCCCCAUUCCUUCUAGACUCUGUCAUCACGAUUCCCUCACUACUAACAUACUCGAGAAAGGAAUAUCUGUGUCAUUACCUAAACCAAAUGUGAGUGACGGGUCCCCUGGUUUCUGCUAGAAGAGCGUGUUCCUUCUGCUGCUCACAAAACCAGCUUGUGCUCCUGUGCUAUCUUAUCCUGCCUUUACUUGCAACCAGCACACGGGCGCAACCUGAACAAGAAAAGCAUUUUAAAGCAACAUGGAAAAUAUUUGUUCUGCAGUUAUCACCAGGCGAAUGCAAUGGGACAGAUCAACGUGGGCAAUGACAUUAUAAUGGCUGGGCUAGAGAGCCCCAGGGAAGGAGGCAGGCGGCUGAGGGAAGGGAGGCUUCCCUUGAGCAACGAGCCCUCUCCAAAGUCACAGCCAGGGCAGUGCUGGAAGGAAGCUCUGGAUCACAUUGGUCUCCGCAUUAGAGAUUUCCGACCCGCUCGGCGCAGGAAGUUGUUCCUGUGGCUCACCUGAGGGAGUUCCUGUUAUGAAGCCAGAGGGUGGUAGGUUGAGACACAGUUUCUGAGAGUGAUGUAAUCUUGGACAGCACGCCGUAGGCAGUGAUACUAGUGACCUGGUUACAACCUGCAGUGUUGUCACAGCCCCUGUGCUGGCCUGGUGAUCACAAGAAAGGGAAGAAAAGGCAAAAAAAAAAAAAGAGGGGAGUGGAAUAAUUUAAAGGGGGGGGGGGGGGGGGGGGAAGAGUUUCCAGAUUUCCUUUGUUUAAGUGAGGCAUUUUCCUUUUCCACUUUAUUUGAAUACACAGACCUGGUGUCUAACAGAUGGAGACUGUGCAGAUGCACUUUUGGGAGUGCCCAUAAAAUACACUACUCAAAUACAAACAGAGGGAUACUUCCCCCCCCCCCGUUUUUUUUUUUUUUUGGAGUUGUAAAUUCAAUAAUCAUUGCUGUCACCUCAUUUUCCCAAAGGAAUUUGCCCUUUGUUCUCCGGAUAAAGCUGGGGAGAAGAAGAAAAAGGAGGGAAAAAAAAGAGAGUGAGAGCAAAGGAAACAUUUGGGAAAAAA